CGCGCUGCCGCCGCCUCCUCCAGCCAGAGUCGGUGGGACUGGCUGCGCUGCCCUGAAGUGGUUCUCCAAGCAGCGCGGAGGGUGGCGGACGGCGGACGGAGCCCAGGGGCCGCGUCGGGUGGGGAAACCCGAACUCGCGGAGGGGAAUCCCUCCCCCUUCGCCCCAGCCCCCCAGCAGCACCCGCGGUGGGGCGGGGGCGCUCUGCCAGCCCCGGGAACAGCAGAGGCGGCGGCACUGGCUGGACCCACGCGCGCGCCUCCGGGGCUGAAGAAGGAAGGAGUGAGCCGAGCCGAGCACCCCACAUCUGGAGGGGACAGCCAGCCGUGGGCCCCGCCCCGGCGUCCGGAGCAGGAGAACUCCGAGCUUCUUGCCCAGGCAAAGAGAGCAGGAGCGGACCGCGCGCCCGGGAUUGAGAGUCCUUGCGCUCCAGACCCCCACCCAGUGGCCGCCAGGGUCCCCGCCUGUCCGGACCCUCGCCGCGCCCAGGCAGGCGCGCCAGGGCGGGGCUGACCUGCCCGCGAAGUUGCGGACAGUGCGUGAGAAGCCAGCACCCCCUUCCGCCGCCUCCAGCUUAUGGUGAGUGUGGCUGGGGGUGCAGAGAGCGCACGGGAAUUCGGGGGUCUGGGGCCGAGAACGUGACCGCAGCCGGGCUCGCCGGGAGUUCUAGGAACAGAAGCCUCAAGCUCUCCCAUUCUGCUCUCUGCAUGUUCCAAGGAGGAUCGCGGACAAGCUGCCCACCCACUGGCCAAGAUAUAGGUUGGUGGCAUUUGACUUGCUGUCUUGACAAGCACCUGAAAUUGUUUUUGCAGCAGUUGUACAUUUCUUCUGACCCACUGAAAGGACUUGAUCUCCUUGGCCCCCUGGGAUGAAAGUA
rnacentral:lncRNA from 1 species